UGGGGAAUAUUGGACAAUGGGGGAAACCCUGAUCCAGCAACGCCGUGUGUGUGAAGAAGGCCUUAGGGUUGUAAAGCACUUUCAGUAGGGAAGAAAAGUUUAAGGGUAAUAUCCUUGAAUCUUGACGUUACCUACAGAAGAAGCACUGGCUAACUCUGUGCCAGCAGCCGCGGUAAUACAGAGAGUGCGAGCGUUAAUCGGAAUUACUGGGCGUAAAGCGCACGUAGGUGGAUAUUUAAGUUGGAUGUGAAAUCCCUGGGCUUAACCUAGGAAUUGCAUUCAAUACUGGAUGUCUAGAGUAUAGUAGAGGGAAGUGGAAUUUCUGGUGUAGCGGUGAAAUGCGUAGAUAUCAGAAGGAACAUCAGUGGCGAAAGCGGCUUCCUGGACUAAUACUGACACUUAGGUGCGAAAGCGUGGGGAGCAAACAG
rnacentral:rRNA from 1 species